rfam:Camelus ferus unplaced genomic scaffold scaffold854, whole genome shotgun sequence.
GUAAAUAUAGUUUAAGAAAAACACUAGAUUGUGAGUCUAGCAAUAAGAGACCAAAACUCUUUAUUUACU